rnacentral:rRNA from 1 species
UACAGAGGGUGCGAGCGUUAAUCGGAAUUACUGGGCGUAAAGGGCGCGUAGGCGGAUGAUUAAGUUAGAUGUGAAAUCCCUGGGCUUAACCUGGGAAUGGCAUUUAAUACUGAUGGUCUAGAGUAGAGUAGAGGGAAGUGGAAUUUCCGGUGUAGCGGUGAAAUGCGUAGAGAUCGGAAAGAACACCAGUGGCGAAGGCGGCUUCCUGGACUCAUACUGACGCUGAGGCGCGAAAGCGUGGGGAGCAAACAGG